UUUUUUCUCGAUUUUGGCGACCGUAGCCUAUGGACACUAACAAGCAACGCUAAGCGGUUUUCGUAGUCUUUGGAUGUUGCUAUAUUAAGGGUGUCACAUGCACGUUUCUGACUUGUGAAGCAAUUGUUUCUACUAUACAACCUAAAAUAAAUAAUUAAUUUGAGCUAUCGUUUUGUUUCGUCCUCUUCACCGCGGCGAGCUGUGAUUGUUUUAUUUCAUUAUAGUUGACUAAACCGUUUCGAAAUGAAUAUUAUAGUUGAGUUAGGAGCCCAAAC